GAGGAAAGAGGGAGGGGGGAGGAAUACAUGCAAGUCGAGCGAACAGACGAGGAGCUUGCUCCUCUGACGUUAGCGGCGGACGGGUGAGUAACACGUGGAUAACCUACCUAUAAGACUGGGAUAACUUCGGGAAACCGGAGCUAAUACCGGAUAAUAUAUUGAACCGCAUGGUUCAAUAGUGAAAGACGGUUUUGCUGUCACUUAUAGAUGGAUCCGCGCCGCAUUAGCUAGUUGGUAAGGUAACGGCUUACCAAGGCGACGAUGCGUAGCCGACCUGAGAGGGUGAUCGGCCACACUGGAACUGAGACACGGUCCAGACUCCUACGGGAGGCAGCAGUAGGGAAUCUUCCGCAAUGGGCGAAAGCCUGACGGAGCAACGCCGCGUGAGUGAUGAAGGUCUUCGGAUCGUAAAACUCUGUUAUUAGGGAAGAACAAAUGUGUAAGUAACUAUGCACGUCUUGACGGUACCUAAUCAGAAAGCCACGGCUAACUACGUG
rnacentral:rRNA from 1 species